AUGCUCACUUUGGCAGCAUUUACACUAUUGUUAGAAUCACACAGAGAAGAUGACUAUGUCCCCUGUGCAAGGAUGAUUUGCAAAACUGUGAAACAUUGAAUAUUAAA